rnacentral:lncRNA from 10 species
CCUGCCAACAGGCAUGCGAAUGAGCCAUUUUAGAAGCUGACCCUCUAACCAUGUUCAAGCUUUCAAAUGACUGCAACCACUGCUGACAUGCUAAAUGCAACCACAUGAGAAACCCUGAGGCAGAAAAACCCAGGCUAGAGUACAAAUGUGAAUAACAUCACAUGCCAAUCAUUCAGGAGUUAUUCAAUAUGCACUGAUGACCCCAAGAGCAGUGAAAAUAACCGUGACAGAAGCUUCCUGAUGACUGGGUACAAGGACAAUUUUUCUCUUAGUAUCCAGACUCCAGUCCUCAAGUCUGCAAAACCAUGAGAACAAUAACACUUUACCAUCAGAACAAUAACACUUCUUUACCAUCAGAGACAUUCUCCAUUGUACACAGAGUACAGAUCAAUUCCAGUAUUCUUAAAUGGGUGAAAUCGGAUUAAAAUGGCCAGCAUGAAGAGGCAUCAGAAUGGGGAAGAUGCAGUCUUGCUGUCACCCAGGCUGGAGUGCAGCGGCACAAUCUCCAGUCACUACAACUUCCGCCUCCCGGGUUCAAGCGAUUCUCCUGCCUCAGCUUCCUGAAUAGUUGGGAUUACAGUGAAGCCUAAAGAGUCAUCCUCCAACCUUGACAACCCUUCACCAUUAUAAUGGAACAAGUCCCAGAUGAGAACAACAGCCAUCUCAGGCAGUCACAACUUUCUGCAGUAGAAAUUCAAUGAGAGCCUCUGAUGGAUACAAAACACUGUGUUGGGAGCUGCGGUGACAAGAUCGAACGGACACAGAUGACCCUUUCAAAAAAUAAAAAGAGCUC